UACGGAGGGAGCUAGCGUUGUUCGGAAUUACUGGGCGUAAAGCGCACGUAGGCGGCUUUCUAAGUCCGGGGUGAAAUCCCGGGGCUCAACCCCGGAACUGCCCUUGAAACUGGAUGGCUAGAAUCCUGGAGAGGCGAGUGGAAUUCCGAGUGUAGAGGUGAAAUUCGUAGAUAUUCGGAAGAACACCAGUGGCGAAGGCGACUCGCUGGACAGGUAUUGACGCUGAGGUGCGAAAGCGUGGGGAGCAAACAGG
rnacentral:rRNA from 1 species